rnacentral:tRNA from 1 species
CCAGCAGGAGCCGGACGGUUAGGCAACAGUCUGUAAAACUGUCGUAAGUUGGUUCAACUCCAACCUGCUGGA